rfam:Mycoplasma auris 15026 contig00005, whole genome shotgun sequence.
UGUUCCUAAUAAGAACUAUAUUGGCAGUGUGGUUCUACUGACCCUGUAUGACUUAGAGAUUACGAAAUGAGGAGAGUGAACCAAACAUAGGUAUUUACCUAUGUUUUUU